UAAGGAAUAUUGGACAAUGGAGGCAACUCUGAUCCAGCCAUGCCGCGUGAAGGAAUAAGGCCCUAUGGGUUGUAAACUUCUUUUAGACGGGACAAAACCCCUUUACGUGUAAAGGGUUGAUGGUACUGUCAGAAUAAGCAUCGGCUAACUUCGUGCCAGCAGCCGCGGUAAUACGAAGGAUGCAAGCGUUAUCCGGAUUUAUUGGGUUUAAAGGGUGCGUAGGCGGCGAUAUAAGUCAGUGGUGAAAUAUUUCGGCUUAACCGAGAGACUGCCAUUGAUACUGUGUUGCUAGAAUAUGGUUGCUGUGAGUGGAAUGUGUGGUGUAGCGGUGAAAUGCUUAGAUAUCACACAGAAUAUCGAUUGCGAAGGCAGCUCACAAAGCCAUUAUUGACGCUGAGGCACGAAAGUGUGGGGAUCAAACA
rnacentral:rRNA from 1 species